rnacentral:rRNA from 1 species
AGUGAACGCUGGCGGUAGGCCUAACACAUGCAAGUCGAACGGCAGCACAGUAAGAGCUUGCUCUUACGGGUGGCGAGUGGCGGACGGGUGAGGAAUACAUCGGAAUCUACUUUUUCGUGGGGGAUAACGUAGGGAAACUUACGCUAAUACCGCAUACGACCUACGGGUGAAAGCAGGGGAUCUUCUGACCUUGCGCGAUUGAAUGAGCCGAUGUCGGAUUAGCUAGUUGGCGGGGUAAAGGCCCACCAAGGCGACGAUCCGUAGCUGGUCUGAGAGGAGGAUCAGCGACAGUGGAACGGAGACACGGACCAGACGCCUACGGGAGGCAGCAGUGGGGAAUAUUGGACAAUGGGCGCAAGCCUGAUCCAGCCAUACCGAGUGGGUGAAGAAGGACUUAGGGUUGUAAAGCCCUUUUGUUGGGAAAGAAAAGCAGCAGGUUAAUACCCCGCUGUUCUGACGGUACCCAAAGAAUAAGCACCGGCUAACUUCGUG